CCAAGGAGUCUAACACGUGUGCGAGUCAUGGAGCUGUACGAAACUCAAAGGCGUAAUGAAAGUGAAGGCCGGGCCUUAGUUGUUCGGCUUAGGUAAGAUGACUGUUUUUUGUUUUCGGACGGAGGCAGUCCGCACUACCGGCCCGUCUCGAUCUCACCGUGGAUGAGGCGGAGCAAGAGCACAUGCGUUGGGACCCGAAAGAUGGUGAACUAUGCCUGAGCAGGAUGAAGCCAGAGGAAACUCUGGUGGAAGUCCGUAGCGAUUCUGACGUGCAAAUCGAUCGUCAAACUUGGGUAUAGGGGCGAAAGACUAAUCGAACC
rnacentral:rRNA from 1 species